GACUCAGUGGUGUAAUUGGUAACACACUGCUAGACCUUAGAAAGUCCCAAACAGUCUUAUGUAAGAGAUCCCCGUUCAACUCGGGGCUGGGUCA